rnacentral:rRNA from 1 species
CCUACAGGAGGCAGCAGUGAGGAAUAUUGGUCAAUGUGCGGGAGCCUGAACCAGCCAAGUCGCGUGAGGGAAGACGGUCCUACGGAUUGUAAACCUCUUUUGCCGGGGAGCAACGGGGUCCUUGCGAGGGCCCGAUUAGAGUACCCGGAGAAAAAGCAUCGGCUAACUCCGUGCCAGCAGCCGCGGUACUACGGAGGAUGCGAGCGUUCUCCGGAUUUAUUGGGUUUAAGGGGUGCGUAGUCGGGCUGUUAAGUCAGCGGUAAAAUGUCGGGGCUCAACCCCGGCCUGCCGUUGAAACUGGCGGCCUCGAGUGCGCGAGAAGGAGGCGGAAUGCGUGGUGUAGCGGUGAAAUGCAUAGAUAUCACGCAGAACUCCGAUUGCGAAGGCAGCAUACCGGAGCGCAACUGACGCUCAUGCACGAAAGCGUGGGUAUCGAACAGGAUUAGAUACCCGAGUAGUC